rnacentral:rRNA from 1 species
CGAUAGGUGAAGAACUCUGGAAUGAGUCUUCGCCAAAAAGACGCUUGCGUUAUGCUCGUAGGCGUCGCCCAAGGAUGAGGCCGCGACCGAUCAGGUUGUUGGUGAGGUAAUGGCUCACCAAGCCUUUUACCGGUGCGGGCCGUGAGAGCGGGAGCCCGGAGAUGGGCACUGAGACAAGGGCCCAGGCCCUACGGGGCGCAGCAGUCGCGAAAACUUUGCAAUACACGAAAGUGUGACAGGGCUAUCCCGAGUGCCAUCCGCUGAGGAAGGCUUUUACCCAGUCUAGAACGCUGGGGGAAUAAGGAGAGGGCAAGUCUGGUGUCAGCCGCCGCGGUAAUACCAGCUCUCCGAGUGGUGUGGAUGUUUAUUGGGCCUAAAGCAUCCGUAGCUGGCUAAGUUAGUCCCUUGUUAAAUCCACCGAAUUAAUCGUUGGAUUGCGGGGGAUACUGCUUGGCUAGGGGACGAGAGAGGCAGACGGUAUUUCCGGGGUAGGGGUGAAAUCCUAUAAUCCCGGGAAGACCACCAGUGGCGAAGGCUGUCUGCUAGAACGCGCCCGACGGUGAGGGAUGAAAGCUGGGGGAGCGAACCGGAUUAGAUACCCGGGUAGUCCCAGCUGUAAACGAUGCAGGCUAGGUGUUUGGACGGCCACGUGCCGUUCUAGUGCCGCAGGGAAGCUGUUAAGCCUGCCGCCUGGGGAGUACGAUCGCAAGAUUGAAACUUAAAGGAAUUGGCGGGGGAGCACCACAAGGGGUGAAGCUUGCGGUUUAAUUGGAUUCAACGCCGGGAAUCGAAUUCCCGC